UUCCAUGGUCUCCACUGUGCACUUCAGAUGGAGCCUGGGAACUGUGAUGUCACAGCCCACGCUCCAGCUGGAACGUCCAGCGCCCAGCAAAGGGCACAACACAACCCUUGGCCGCUGUGUUGACACGCUCUGCAUCUUGCUCCUGCCCUCGCCUUUCACUCUUCUUAUCCCCCCGAUACCCCGAUCAUUCCUGACAGCUCCUGAGUGCCAGGAUUUCAUCAUCCAGCCCUGCAGGAUGCUCCCCUUUGUCCUGAGGGAGGCUGUCCCAGACAGAGAGGAGGAGAUGGAGGUAGACACCAAGAUUGAUAUGGAGGAGGAGAUGGAAAUAGACGGAGAAGACCCUGGAGAGGAAGAGAUGGAUGUGGAUGAGGAUGUUGAAGAAGAGAUGGACGUGGACGUGACUGAGGACGAAGAGAUGGAUGUGGAUAUGGAAGAGUCCAUUGAGAACAUGGAUAUUGAUUAAGAAGGCUGUCCCAGACAGAGAGGAGGAGAUGGAGGUAGACACCAAGAUUGAUAUGGAGGAGGAGAUGGAAAUUGACGGAGAAGACCCUGGAGAGGAAGAGAUGGAUGUGGAUGAGGAUGUUGAAGAAGAGAUGGACGUGGACGUGACUGAGGACGAAGAGAUGGAUGUGGAUAUGGAAGAGUCCAUUGAGGACAUGGAUAUUGAUUAAAAAGGCUGUCCCAGACAGAGAGGAGGAGAUGGAGGUAGAUACAAAGAUUGAUAUGGAGGAGGAGAUGGAAAUAGACGGAGAAGACCCUGGAGAGGAAGAGAUGGAUGUGGAUAUGCAUGAGGACGAAGAUAUGGAUGUGGAUAUGGAAGAGUCCAUUGAGGACAUGGAUAUUGAUAAAAAGGUGCGAUGGACAUCAUGGAGAGAGAUGCUGCCCUUUUGUACAUACGUUUUAGACUUUGUUUUUGUCUUUAGGAUAGAAGUUUUUGGGCCUAUUUGUGUCUUCUGUAAAUGUGGUUUGGUUUUUUUUUAGAUAGUUUCUUAUGUAUACAUGUUCUCUCGACUGUUGUUGUUGUUACAAAUAUUCUUACAAUGUAAAUAUGUUCUGUAUUUUUGCUGCUGUUCUUCUGUAAUAAACAAAAUUUACUUUUCACCCCCCAUUUCUCUUUGCAUUUGCUUCAGGCACAGGCAGCAUUUU